GGCAUGGUGGCUUAGUGGUUAACCCUCUGGUACCUUGCACCUCUGUGGUUGGGGGUUCGAAUCCCACCUCUGCCC